rnacentral:rRNA from 1 species
GGAGCGUUCUGUAAGCCUGCGAAGGUGUGCUGUGAGGCAUGCUGGAGGUAUCAGAAGUGCGAAUGCUGACAUAAGUAACGAUAAAGCGGGUGAAAAGCCCGCUCGCCGGAAGACCAAGGGUUCCUGUCCAACGUUAAUCGGGGCAGGGUGAGUCGACCCCUAAGGCGAGGCCGAAAGGCGUAGUCGAUGGGAAACAGGUUAAUAUUCCUGUACUUGGUGUUACUGCGAAGGGGGGACGGAGAAGGCUAUGUUGGCCGGGCGACGGUUGUCCCGGUUUAAGCGUGUAGGCUGGUUUUCCAGGCAAAUCCGGAAAAUCAAGGCUGAGGCGUGAUGACGAGGCACUACGGUGCUGAAGCAACAAAUGCCCUGCUUCCAGGAAAAGCCUCUAAGCAUCAGGUAACAUCAAAUCGUACCCCAAACCGACACAGGUGGUCAGGUAGAGAAUACCAAGGCGCUUGAGAGAACUCGGGUGAAGGAACUAGGCAAAAUGGUGCCGUAACUUCGGGAGAAGGCACGCUGAUAUGUAGGUGAAGUCCCUUGCGGAUGGAGCUGAAAUCAGUCGAAGAUACCAGCUGGCUGCAACUGUUUAUUAAAAACACAGCACUGUGCAAACACGAAAGUGGACGUAUACGGUGUGACGCCUGCCCGGUGCCGGAAGGUUAAUUGAUGGGGUCAGCGCAAGCGAAGCUCUUGAUCGAAGCCCCGGUAAACGGCGGCCGUAACUAUAACGGUCCUAAGGUAGCGAAAUUCCUUGUCGGGUAAGUUCCGACCUGCACGAAUGGCGUAAUGAUGGCCAGGCUGUCUCCACCCGAGACUCAGUGAAAUUGAACUCGCUGUGAAGAUGCAGUGUACCCGCGGCAAGACGGAAAGACCCCGUGAACCUUUACUAUAGCUUGACACUGAACAUUGAGCCUUGAUGUGUAGGAUAGGUGGGAGGCUUUGAAGUGUGGACGCCAGUCUGCAUGGAGCCGGCCUUGAAAUACCACCCUUUAAUGUUUGAUGUUCUAACGUGGACCCGUGAUCCGGGUUGCGGACAGUGUCUGGUGGGUAGUUUGACUGGGGCGGUCUCCUCCUAAAGAGUAACGGAGGAGCACGAAGGUUGGCUAAUCCUGGUCGGACAUCAGGAGGUUAGUGCAAUGGCAUAAGCCAGCUUGACUGCGAGCGUGACGGCGCGAGCAGGUGCGAAAGCAGGUCAUAGUGAUCCGGUGGUUCUGAAUGGAAGGGCCAUCGCUCAACGGAUAAAAGGUACUCCGGGGAUAACAGGCUGAUACCGCCCAAGAGUUCAUAUCGACGGCGGUGUUUGGCACCUCGAUGUCGGCUCAUCACAUCCUGGGGCUGAAGUAGGUCCCAAGGGUAUGGCUGUUCGCCAUUUAAAGUGGUACGCGAGCUGGGUUUAGAACGUCGUGAGACAGUUCGGUCCCUAUCUGCCGUGGGCGCUGGAGAACUGAGGGGGGCUGCUCCUAGUACGAGAGGACCGGAGUGGACGCAUCACUGGUGUUCGGGUUGUCAUGCCAAUGGCACUGCCCGGUAGCUAAAUGCGGAAGAGAUAAGUGCUGAAAGCAUCUAAGCACGAAACUUGCCCCGAGAUGAGUUCUCCCUGACCCUUUAAGGGUCCUGAAGGAACGUUGAAGACGACGACGUUGAUAGGCCGGGUGUGUAAGCGCAGCGAUGCGUUGAGCUAACCGGUACUAAUGAACCGUGAGGCUUAAC